UACGUAGGGGGCAAGCGUUGUCCGGAUUUAUUGGGCGUAAAGAGCGUGUAGGCGGCCAGAUAGGUCCGUUGUGAAAACUCGAGGCUCAACCUCGAGACGCCGAUGGAAACCAUUUGGCUAGAGUCCGGAAGAGGAGAGUGGAAUUUCCUGCGUAGCGGUGAAAUGCGUAGAUAUAGGAAGGAACACCAGUGGCGAAGGCGACCACCUGGACUGAUACUGACACUGAGGUGCGAAAGCGUGGGGAGCAAACAGG
rnacentral:rRNA from 1 species